UGGAUGUCACAGCUGCUUGUACGACGCUACGCGUUGCGUUACCGGGGUUUGCUCAGUUCAUUCGUUGGUCGCCUCUUUUCUCUCUUCUUUAUUUGCUGUAUUGCGCUCCCUGAUGACGGGAGGGGAGCUCCUCAGUGCGCAGCAUCACAGGUCCAGUACCCCCCCUCCUCCUCCUCCCACCCUCUGUACUCGAAGGCCACAGCAGCCCUCCCUCUGUCCCUGCCAAUGCCGCGCCACAUCUGGUGGUGACAGGGUCAAAUGACUACAACGCAGGGAGGCCAGAGCGAUGUAUCGCUACGAGUGUCGGCGAUCCGGUCGUGGAUGGUGUUGCGCCGGAGCGAGCUGCGACAGUGAAGAUGCUUGCGUCAUCUGCGGGAUGGGCGAAGGGCCAGCGCGACUCGAACGCAUCCUAGCAGGUCCUGAGUGUCCAGUGAUGGGUGCCUGAGUCGUCCCGAAGAAGAUGCAUCGCGUGGCGACCGGCAGGGUGGGUAGCUGCUCUGGGGAGAUCUUCGAGGCCGGGGGGAAGGGUUAAAGUUCGAGGCCGCGGCCGUGCUAUCAGAUGACUGAGUCGGCGCGUUGCUGUACUGGCGUGUCUAGCGUUCCUUGGCACCAUGCGGACGAGCCUGCGACCGGUGGGGUGGAGUAGAACCCAAAUCAUGUGCUGUGGCAGAAUGGACACGUUGUAAAUGUUGCGCCUCAUGGUAAAAUCUUGUCACAAGGGGGGGCGGCCAGCACCCCGUCACAUCGUGGCUCUCCUUCUGUUUCAAAAUCUCCGCGGGUUCUUGGAGAAGGGGGCUCGGAGGUGGCUCGCACGCUGGUGGGCUUGCUUACAGACUGAGCAAGUGGCCGACGUAGAGAACACCCGCAUCAUGCCGCCUCCUGAGGGCCCAGGGGCAGGGCCGCGAUGUGUGCAGUCUUAUGAUCCAACUAUCCUCUUCUCUUGCGCGCAUGACCUCUGCGGUCGAUGCUAUUCUGUGCUCGCACAGCAUGGCAACUGCAACGCACACGCACGCCCCUCUCGCUCCCUGCACUCUUUCCUUCCCUCUCUUCCUGCAG
rnacentral:misc_RNA from 1 species